rnacentral:tRNA from 2 species
CUGUCCGUAGCUCAGCUGGAUAGAGCAGCGGUCUUCUAAACCGCAGGUCGGGGGUUCGAGCCCCUCCGGACAGGCCA